ACAAAGUUAAUGUCAAUAAACUUUAAUUAAAAGUAAAAGUAUCUGUACUUAUCAGCUUGAUAUCUGAUACGGUUUCAAUCUGAGACCUUCGAUAUUAACCUGAUUUUUGGAACUGGGCGAGAAAGGGGGCUUGCUCCCUCCCCGCCACGGGUUGCUCUGGCCUGGCACUUAUUGCCAGAGAUAGCCCACCCCCU
rnacentral:snRNA from 1 species